rnacentral:lncRNA from 1 species
UUGAGAGGUGUUAGGCAUACCCUCCAACAUUUGUCCGAUGAAAAUAGGGAUGUCCCGUUCCAUGAUGAUAAUGUUACUAUUUAUACCCCACACAUCUGACUGGGUUGCCCCAGCCACUCUGGGCAGUUUCCAACAUAUAUAAAAAUAUAAUAAAACUUUAAACAUUUUUUAAAAAACCUUCCCUAUACAGGAUUGCCUUCAGACGGCUUGGGGGGUCAGAUAAUUCCAUACCCUCCAACAUUUCUCCAAUGAAAAUAGGGACGUCCUAAGGAAAAGAGGGACAUUUCGGGAUCAAGAUGGAUGACCAGAUGAGCGGGGGUAUUCCUGGACCAGAUAGUAGCAUAGCAGGACCAAAAGGUUUAGAAGGGGGAAGAGGAAGAGAGGGUGAGAGGGGACCAAGGGGCCCCACGGGAUUCCCCGGCUUGAAAGGAACCAGAGUAAGAGCCAAAGAACGAAGAUGCUGACAUUGUUUUCCCUGUGAAAGAACUUCAUGGUGGUAAUGCAAGGCAGACUGCAACUGUCCUAUCACUGGGUCUACUGCCAGCAAUAGGCAGAGAACCCUAAACUCCCUCUUCCACACAUAGAAAUCCCUUUGAGAAUAUUGGAAUUGCAGUUGCGUGAGACUUUCCCCCUUUCUCUAAAUCUUUGCCACUUGAUUCUGGGAAAUGUCUUGAGGCCAAGAAAAGAGUUCUUGUGGGUCCAGAUUCAUGGCAGAGUCUGGACACUGAAAUCAAUAGGGUGCAUCUUCUGUUGGGGGCGGCAGGGAGGUUUCACCAUUGCAUUCUACUAGAAGCUUCCUUCAAAAAGUGUUUGGAAGGUUCGGAUGCUUCAAAGUGUGGCUGCCCAGUUGUUAAAUGGUGCCAGGCAUGGAAAACAUAUUGUUGCAGACCACUCCAGUCUCCAAGCAGUGUGAGAUCCCAGGGUUUGAUUUCUUCUGAAUGAAGGGCAGUGGAGACUGUGGUAUCUUUGUCAUAUAUGGUUUG